ACUGUGGGUGAUGAAAGUACGUCCUUAGGUUGGUCUCUUUUUGGCCGUUUUGGUCAAAACCAUGAGCCUUCCAAUGUUGGGAUCAGUCAUAGUUACACUGACACAUU